CGGGUACAAUCAACUCACUGACGUAUUAAGCCAGCUCGCUUUUUCCCCACUGACAGGAGUUUACAAUCCGAAAACCUUCAUCCUCCACGCGGCGUUGCUGCGUCAGGGUUUCCCCCAUUGCGCAAAAUUCCCC
rnacentral:rRNA from 1 species